AUUGAACGCUGGCGGCAGGCCUAACACAUGCAAGUCGAGCGAGCGGCGGACGGGUGAGUAAUGUCUGGGAAACUGCCCGAUAGAGGGGGAUAACUACUGGAAACGGUAGCUAAUACCGCAUACCAUCGGAUGUACCCAUAUGGGAUUAGCUAGUAGGGGGGGUAAUGGCUCACCUAGGCGACGAUCCCUAGCUGGUCUGAUAGGAUGACCAGCCACACUGGAACUGAGACACGGCCCAGAGUCCUACGGGAGGCAGCAGUGGGGAAUAUUGCACAAUGGGCGCAAGCCUGAUGCAGCCAUGCCGCGUGUAUGAAGAAGGCCUUCGGGUUGUAAAGGACUUUCAGCGAGGAGGCGUUACCCGCAGAAGAAGCACCGGCUAACUCCGUGCCAGCAGCCGCGGUAAUUC
rnacentral:rRNA from 1 species